AUUGAACGCUGGCGGCAUGCCUUACACAUGCAAGUCGAACGGUAACAGGUCUUCGGAUGCUGACGAGUGGCGAACGGGUGAGUAAUGCAUCGGAACGUGCCCAGUAGGGGGGGAUAGCCCGGCGAAAGCCGGAUUAAUACCGCAUACGACCUGAGGGUGAAAGGGGGGGAUCGCAAGACCUCUCGCCAUUGGAGCGGCCGAUGUCAGAUUAGCUAGUUGGUGGGGUAAAGGCCUACCAAGGCAACGAUCUGUAGUUGGUCUGAGAGGACGACCAGCCACACUGGGACUGAGACACGGCCCAGACUCCUACGGGAGGCAGCAGUGGGGAAUUGUGGACAAUGGGCGCAAGCCUGAUCCUGCAAUGCCGCGUGCAGGAAGAAGGCCUUCGGGUUGUAAACUGCUUUUGUCAGGGAAGAAAUCUUCUGGGUUAAUACCUCGGGAGGAUGACGGUACCUGAAGAAUAAGCACCGGCUAACUACGUGCCAGCCGCCGCCGUAA
rnacentral:rRNA from 1 species